rnacentral:rRNA from 1 species
UACAGAGAGUGCAAACGUUGUUCGGAAUUACUGGCUUAAAGCGCACGUAGGCGGCGCCGCAAGUGUGGGUGAAAGCCACGGCUUACCCGUGGAAUUGCCUGGCAGACUGCGGUGCUAGAGUGUGGUAGGGAGAGGCGGAACUCCUGGUGGAGCGGUGAAAUGCGUAGAUAUUAGGAGGAACACCGGUGGCGAAGGCGGCUCUCGUGGUCCACAACUGACGCUGAGGUGCGAAAGCUAGGGGAGCAAACGGG